GACGAACGCUGGCGGCGUGCUUAACACAUGCAAGUCGAACGAAGUGGCGAACGGGUGAGUAAUACGUGGGUAACCUGCCCUCCUUUUUGGGAUAAGCCUUGGAAACGGGGUCUAAUACCGAAUAAAGGGGGAUGGGCUCGCGGUCUAUCAGGUUGUUGGUGGGGUGAUGGCCUACCAAGGCGGUGAGGGGUAGCCGGCCGGAGAGGGUGACCGGACACAUUGGGACUGGGAUACGGCCCAGGCUCCUACGGGAGGCAGCAGUGGGGGAUAUUGCGCAAUGGGGGAAAGCCUGAUGCGGCGACGCCACGUGGGGGAUGAAGGCGUACAGGUUGUAAACCUCUUACGCAAUCGAACAGGUAGGUAGAGAAGAAGCGCCGGCUAACUACGUGCCAGCAGCCGCGGUAAUUC
rnacentral:rRNA from 1 species